rnacentral:lncRNA from 1 species
UUCACAUCAUUAUCUUCAAUAGGGUUCUCAUACUAAAUAAACCCUUCUGAAUCUACCUUCUCAUCAACUGUAUUUUCAUCCUCUUUUGCAAUUUUUCCAAAUUCCCUCAAAUUCUCUUCUUUCUCUUUAAAGCUAUUUUCAACAUAAGACCCCUCUUCAUCGGAAUCAUUUCCUCUUAAACUACUACAACCUUCUAAACCAUCUCCAGUAUUUAGCUCUGGAGAUUUAUACUUGUGGGUUGAAAACCAGUUUUUCAGAUCAAGGGGUUCUAAUUAACCAAUAAAUACCAAAAAAAAAAAAG